AUUUAUACAUAGUUACUUAUCUUUUUUAACCCUCUAAAAAGGUCAGUACCUAUAUUACGGAUAAAACUAAUAUUUAUUGAUAUCUAUAACAUUUGUGAAGUGAAUAAAGCUGGGAUCGGCUCACGGCUCGUUCAAGUUUGGUAUCAUAAUAAUUGGUGUAUAAUACGUGAAAAUAAAAAAUGUCGGCAACUUGAAUGUGACACAACGUCGCAUAUAAAAUAGUCUAUGCUCAAUCAUGAUAUACCGCAAAAUAGGUACCUAAAUAAAUAAGUUUUCGAUAUUUUUGCUAAUAUACAAACAGAUGGCGGGGUCAGGAGUCGAAAGUUCAUACCUUCUUCUACAAAUACG